rnacentral:rRNA from 1 species
GCCGCGUGAGUGACGAAGGCCUUAGGGUCGUAAAGCUCUUUCGCCAGAGAUGAUAAUGACAGUAUCUGGUAAAGAAACCCCGGCUAACUCCGUGCCAGCAGCCGCGGUAAUAAUCACUAGUGAAUUC